AGACCUGUAUAUACUAUAUAUUACAGAUAAACUUCAAAAAUACUUAUCUUCCAUCUAGCAAUCCAGUAUCAGACUCUCUUAAAUUAUUUGCUGAAAAUGAAAUGAUGCUUACCGUAUCAUGGCAAUGAUAGCGAGACGAAACUUGGCGUAAGUUACUUCCUUUGGGAAAUUCAAAUUACCCGAAGACACUUGCCUUUGUACAUAUGCAACAUAAUAUUUGUACAUAGGUAAACU